CCUUAGAGACUAAACUCUGGGUCUCCAGCUACUUUUCUAUGGGAGUUGGGGUUUUUUUAGACACUGGAGAAGGGCAAUGAAGUGAACUCUAGCCCACCACCUCCGUUUCUUCUGAAAUGCCAUUGUCACUUUAAGUGUCAGCAAAACUUUGGCAGCAUGCCACAACAAUAACUCAACAUGAACAUUCAAAUUUAAGGUCAGGCCCACACAACUGCUACUGCAGCAUCAGCAGACCCAGGGAGAGAGCUAGACUGGGUUCCCCAUGACAAUCUCAUCCGCAGAUUCGGCACGUGGUACGAGUAUCCCAUCCUCUUCUCUGAGAACACCACAUGGAGAAGGAAUUCCCCUCACUUUCUGGGGUUGGAAAGAAGAGAGUGAUUUGGGCCAUGCUUUUCCCAAAUACACGCCGAGACCCAACACGUGGUGCCAGCAGCUCACUUCUCCCUGGGAUAACAGCUUUUUCCUUCUGCCAGCUAAGGGUGUACCAACCCCGCACUUGGUCAAUGGGGCCUGACCAAUCACUGUGGGCCUAGGAGACAAUGCCCCCUCACCCCUGCUGCACAUGCUCCAGGUGGAAGCGACAGAUAAAAGGAGGCAGCCCAGUUCAGUGGGGGCUGACUGAGGAGGAGGAAGGACAUGUGCUGCAGGUUCCUGCAGAGGAAUCUUCAACUCUCCAGGCUGUUGAGACCAUGGACUCAGACUAUGCUGUGGAUGACUGGCUGACCAUGGAGACUGACUGGGAUGCUGAGCCCCUGCCAGCAGAGAAGAUGCCCUAAAUGGGCCUUAUGUUACCAAUCCAUGAGAGCACCUUCCUUCUUAUCCCGUGGCAGCUUACUUUGCAUAAGAGCUGCCAUAGCAACUCAGCCAGCCGUCUUUGCCAGCAGCAGCUACCAAAUAUCUGCAGUGACCAACAGGCUUCCAUAUCUGUCACCAGAGGGCAGCUUUCGCCUCAGCAGCAUUGGUCUCUCUCCGGCGGCAAAGAAUAUUAAGCACCAGCAGACAGCGUUUCCUUUUUUGACAGAUCAGAAGGACCUUAUUGAUGAUUCAGAGGAAUCUAAGAAUAGUAGAAGUAAGUCUAGUCUUCUAUUCACUCUCAAGGAACGUAUGGGUUUCUCCUGUAAAUAAAGUUGUGUGCCAGUGGUCUUAGUGAGCUCUUCCUCUACCCAUCGGAUAGUCCCUUGGCCAGUGCUUAUUGGAUGUUCAGUGCUACAUGUUGAAUGUUAAAAGUCAAAUAGAGUUAAGUGAAUGGUUACACUGUUAUAUUUUAUAUAGUCUACGUUUUUACUUGCUGCGUUGCUUUAUUUUAAACUGUAAUUCUAGUACGUUUUAUCAUGCUUUACUCAUUUCUUCUUGUUUUUCUGUAAAUACCUAAUUCCUUCAAAAAACAAUUAUUUCUGUUUUUGAAGAAUUACUAUGUGUGUGUCCAUUCCUGAGCGGAAGGCUGUAUUCAUGUCCUUUCAGGGGUUAACAAGACUAGCUUGCUCUGGGGAGCCCUCUACGGGUCAGAGACAAGCCCCCUGGUAAUAUUCUGGUAACUCCUUUAGGGCAGGCCACAAUCUUGUUUACCCUUUUUAUUAAAUUUAAAAAAUUGUAGGUAAUUUAAUUAGCUUCCAAUUUCUAGGGUAACAGUGGGGGGAGAAGAGCUUACGAACACUUUUACAACGAUGAUGCUCAAUUAGAGAACUGCUGGGCCUAGAACCUGGUUACUGUGUCUGUGUUCAAUUGGAUGGAGAAAAAGGAUGGAUAACUCCAGCAGUCCUAAAGAAAAAGAAUUCACCAACCAGAUCAUUUGUGAUCAAGACCAACAGUAGAGAGUUCAACAGAAACUGUCAAUAUCUAGUUUGUGCCUCAGAAAGAACAAUCAACAGAACAAACUCUACAUAUGGCAGAUGAUGACUCAAGGAUUCCAAACUGAUCACAGGCUGUUGUUGCAACUAAUGGAUAGCCAGAUGAUCAAGUUGUUACAUGUUUGGGCUGUGUAGUGAGAAAACCAAUCCGAUUCAGAUACAUUUGACAGACUAGUCUGUAUCAAACUUCAGAGAUAGCGUGACAGUGUAAAUUUUGUAAAUGGUAGGAAUAUAGAACUUUUGGGGGGAGAAGAAAUGGAAUGCUAAUUUGUAUUACACUGUACAGCCACAAGGUGGCAAUAUGUGUAACAUACCUUAUUUAAGCUAACCUCAGCCAUGCUUGGCAGAGCAUUAAAGGAUCUUAUAGUGAACACAUCUGGUGUAUAUCUCUGAGGGAAUGAAGCUCUGUAGCCAGUCCAUAUCUGAUAUAGAAGCCUGAUCUGUUCAUAGCAGCCCUGCAACCUACUGGUAUACAUGACAGGCAACCAGGCCCCUGUUUCCUGCCUAAGCAUGCAUUCUACUGUUUCAUGAUAGGCAUCCAGACACCUAUCUCCCACCUAAGCUCAGAGCAAUUGUCAACCCAGGAAAGAUACGCAUUUGGCUGCUCAAGUUGCAUGUGAGGGCAUGGUCAGGUACGCGGUCUCUGAGCACACCUCAGCACACCCCUGGACCGGGUCCCUCAGGCAAGUUCACAUAAAAUAGCUGCGGGGAGGCCAGCAACCUCCCUUAUCUUUAGCCUACUGGCUAGAGUAUUCACACAGGGUAUGGGAAACCCCCAGUUCAAGUACUCCCUCCUUGUGUGGGAGAAGGGAUUUGAAAUGUGAUCAGCCAUAGAUGCCAACUUCUCCU